rnacentral:rRNA from 1 species
GACGAACGCUGGCGGCGUGCUUAACACAUGCAAGUCGAACGGAAAGGCCCUGCUUUUGUGGGGUGCUCGAGUGGCGAACGGGUGAGUAACACGUGAGUAACCUGCCCUUGACUUUGGGAUAACUUCAGGAAACUGGGGCUAAUACCGGAUAGGAGCUCCUGCUGCAUGGUGGGGGUUGGAAAGUUUCGGCGGUUGGGGAUGGACUCGCGGCUUAUCAGCUUGUUGGUGGGGGAGUGGCUUACCAAGGCUUUGACGGAUAGCCGGCCUGGGAGGGUGACCGGCCACAUGAGGACUGAGAGAGGGCCCAGACUCCUACGUGAGGCAGCAGUGGGGAAUAUUGCACAAUGGGCGGAAGCCUGAUGCAGCAGCGCCGCGUGCGGAAUGACGGCCUUCGGGUUGUAAACCGCUUUCGCCUGUGACGAAGCGUGAGUGACGGUAAUGGGUAAAGAAGCACCGGCUAACUACGUG